rnacentral:rRNA from 1 species
UACGAAGGGGGCUAGCGUUGCUCGGAAUGACUGGGCGUAAAGGGCGCGUAGGCGGCGGUCACAGUCAGAUGUGAAAUUCCUGGGCUUAACCUGGGGGCUGCAUUUGAUACGUGGUUGCUUGAGUGGGGAAGAGGGUCGUGGAAUUCCGGGUGUAGUGGUGAAAUGCGUAGAGAUCCGGAGGAACCCCAGAGGCGAAGGCGGCAUCCUGGCCCAUUACCGACACUCAGACACGACAGCAUGGGGAGCGAACGGG